AUUAACGCUGUCGGCGUGCCUAAGAUAUGCAAGUCGUACGAAACUCGUGUUUAUGAAACUUCGGUUGAUUAAACACAUAUGAGUUUAGUGGCAAACGGCUGAGUAAUACAUAGAGAACCUGCCCCAGAGAUGGGUACAGCUCACCGAAAGGUGGGGUAAUACCCAAUGGACCCUUGUCCGAUUCGUCGGAUGUAGUGUAAAGAUUGCAGCUUGCUGUAGUCGCUCUGGGAUGGCUCUGUGGCCUAUCAGCUUGUUGGUGAGGUAAAGGCUCACCAAGGCUAAGACGGGUAGCUGGUCUGAGAGGAUGACCAGCCAGACCGGGACUGAGACACGGCCCGGACUCCUACGGGAGGCAGCAAUCAGGAAUCUUGCGCAAUGGGGGAAACCCUGACGCAGCGACGCCGAGUGAAGGAUGAAGGCUUUAGGGUCGUAAACUUCUUUUAUAAGAGAACAAUUUUGAGUGUACCUUAUGAAUAAGGGCCUGCUAACUGCGUGCCAGAAGCAUCGGUAAUACGUGGGGCUCGAGCGUUAUUCGGAAUUAUUGGGCGUAAAGAGAGGCGUAGGCGGCUUAACAAGUCUUCUGUUAAAUACCAAGGCUUAACCUUGGAACUGCGGAGGAUACUGUUUCGCUUGAGGCAGAGAGGGGGAAGUGGAAUUCCCGGUGGAGCGGUGAAAUGCGUUGAUAUCGGGAGGAACACUAGUGGCGAAAGCGACUUCCUGGCUCUAGCCUGACGCUAAGGCUCGAAAGCGUGGGUAGCAAAACGGAUUAGAUACCCGUGUAGUCCACGCCGUAAACUAUGGAUACUAGGUGUUUGAUUUGAACCUUACUUAACUUCGGUUUUGUAGGGGUAAAAUUGAGUGCCGCAGCUAACGCAUUAGGUAUCCCGCCUGGGGACUACGGCCGCAAGGCUAAAACUCAAAGGAAUUGACGGGGACGCGCACAAGCAGUGGAGCGUGUGGUUUAAUUCGACGCUAAGCGAAGAACCUUACCAGGGUUUGACAUUUACCUGCACGCCUCUAGAAAUAGAGGAAGCCUUCGAGGGUGGUAAACAGACGCUGCAUGGCUGUCGUCAGCUCGUGUCGUGAGAUGUCCGGUUAAGUCCGGUAACGAGCGCAACCCCUAUCCCGUGUUAUAUUUGUCUCGGGAAACUGCCUCGCCAAAACGAGGAGGAAGGUGGGGACGACGUCUAGUCCGCAUGGCUCUUACAUCCUGGGCAACACACGCGCUACAAUGGUCAAUACAACGGGCAGCGAAGGAGCGAUCCGGAGCUAAUCCUGCAAAGUUGACCUCGGUUCGGAUUGAAGGCUGAAAUUCGCCUUCAUGAAGUUGGAAUUGCUAGUAAUCGUGGGUCAGCAAACCACGGUGAAUACGUUCUCGCGUCUUGCACACACCGCC
rnacentral:rRNA from 1 species